AGCGAAAGCUAGUUGUAUUAUUAGUUAAUGCAAGAUCGACUACGUCGACUAAAGUUCUAGGUAGAAUAAUGAUGAUGACAAUUUUUUACCUAUAUGUCUUGACCAAGUCUCGUGCCAGCAGUCGCGGUAAUACGUGGAAGACUAGUGUUAUUCAUCUUUAUUAGGUUUAAAGGGUACCUAGACGGUAUUUCUAGCCCAAAAUAGGGUACGGAUUUACUAGAGUUUUAUGUGAGGAGGGGAGUACUCGUGGAGUAGAGAUGAAAUUUUGUUAUACUAUGAGGUAACUGGUGGCGGCGAAAGCAACCUUCUAUGUAUAAACUGACGUUGAGGGACGAAGGCUUGGGUAGCAAAUAGGAUUAGAUACCCUAGUAGUCCAAGCAGACAAUUCUGAAUGCCAUAGAUUAGAUUAUUUUUGGUCUAUAAAUGAAAGUGUAAGCAUUCCACCUUAGGAGUAAUGUGGCAACACAGGAACUGAAAUCAUUAGACCGUUUCUGAAACCAGUAGUGAAGUAUGUUAUUUAAUUUGAUGGUCCACAAAAAACCUUACCACAACUUGAAUAUUUUUUAAUUAAUACAAGCGUUGCACGGCUGUCUUCAGUUAAUGUCGUGAGAUUUUGGUUAACUCCAUUAAUUAACGUAAACCCUUACUUUAUUUC
rnacentral:rRNA from 1 species